rnacentral:rRNA from 1 species
AUUGAACGCUGGCGGCAUGCCUUACACAUGCAAGUCGAACGGUAACAGGUCUUCGGAUGCUGACGAGUGGCGAACGGGUGAGUAAUGCAUCGGAACGUGCCCAGUAGUGGGGGAUAGCCCGGCGAAAGCCGGAUUAAUACCGCAUACGACCUGAGGGUGAAAGGGGGGGAUCGCAAGACCUCUCGCUAUUGGAGCGGCCGAUGUCAGAUUAGCUAGUUGGUGGGGUAAAGGCCUACCAAGGCAACGAUCUGUAGUUGGUCUGAGAGGACGACCAGCCACACUGGGACUGAGACACGGCCCAGACUCCUACGGGAGGCAGCAGUGGGGAAUUUUGGACAAUGGGCGCAAGCCUGAUCCAGCAAUGCCGCGUGCAGGAAGAAGGCCUCGGUUGUAACGUAGCUUUGUUCUAGGAAGAAAGUACUUCUGGUUAAGUUACCCGGGUACGGAGUGACGGUACCGUGAAGAAUAAGACACC